AGUGAACGCUGGCGGUAGGCCUAACACAUGCAAGUCGAACGGCAGCACAGUAAGAGCUUGCUUCUACGGGUGGCGAGUGGCGGACGGGUGAGGAAUACAUCGGAAUCUACUUUUUCGUGGGGGAUAACGUAGGGAAACUUACGCUAAUACCGCAUACGACCUACGGGUGAAAGCAGGGGGUCUUCGGACCUUUCCCGAUUGAAAGAGCCGAUGUCGGAUUAGCUAGUUGGCGGGGUAAAGGCCCACCAAGGCGACGAUCCGUAGCUGGUCUGAGAGGAUGAUCAGCCACACUGGAACUGAGACACGGUCCAGACUCCUACGGGAGGCAGCAGUGGGGAAUAUUGGACAAUGGGCGCAAGCCUGAUCCAGCCAUACCGCGUGGGUGAAGAAGGCCUUCGGGUUGUAAAGCCCUUUUGUUGGGAAAGAAAAGCAGCAGGUUAAUACCCCGCUGUUCUGACGGUACCCAAAGAAUAAGCACCGGCUAACUUCGUG
rnacentral:rRNA from 1 species